rnacentral:rRNA from 1 species
GACGAACGCUGGCGGCGUGCUUAACACAUGCAAGUCGAACGAAGUGGCGAACGGGUGAGUAACGCGUAAUCAACCUGCACUUCAGAGGGGGACAACAGUUGGAAACGAAUGCUAAUACAGCAUACAGAAGGAGGGGAAGGGUUCUGAUUAGCUAGUUGGAGGGGUAACGGCCCACAAAGGCGAUGAUCAGUAGCCGGUCUGCGAGGAUGCACGGCCACAUUGGUACUGAGACACGGCCCAGACUCCUACGGGAGGCAGCAGUGGGGAAUCUUCCGCAAUGGACGAAAGUCUGACGGAGCAACGCCGCGUGAGUGAUGACGGCCUUCGGGUUGUAAAGCUCUGUUAAUCGGGACGCGGUACCGGAAUAGAAAGCCACGGCUAACUACGUGCCAGCAGCCGCGGUAAUAC